rnacentral:rRNA from 1 species
GACGGGGGGGGCAAGUGUUCUUCGGAAUGACUGGGCGUAAAGGGCACGUAGGCGGUGAAUCGGGUUGAAAGUGAAAGUCGCCAAAAAGUGGCGGAAUGCUCUCGAAACCAAUUCACUUGAGUGAGACAGAGGAGAGUGGAAUUUCGUGUGUAGGGGUGAAAUCCGUAAAUAUACGAAGGAACGCCAAAAGCGAAGGCGGCGAUCUGGGUCGAUACUGACGCUGAGGUGCGAAAGCGUGGGGAGCAAACAGG